CGGGCGCGCAGCGACGGAGCUGGGGCCGGCCUGGGACCAUGGGCGUGAGUGCAAUCUACGGAUCAGUCUCUGAUGGUGGGUCGUUAACCUCAGUGGGGACUCCAAGAUUUCCAUGAAGAAAAUCAGUUGUCUUCAUUCAAGAAUUGGGGUCUGGCUCAGAAUUCCUGCAGCUGGUGAAAAUCUGUUUUCUAGAAGAGGUUUAAUUAAUGCCUGCAGUCUGUGAGUAAGAGAAAGGGAGGAGAGGGAGAAAGAGACAUACUACUAUCUAGAGGUGGGUGGGAGAAAGGAUAGGAGAAUGUUCAAGGUCCUGAAAAUUCAUAGGGGGAGAUUUUGGCCCCAGAACCUGUCCCUGGACAAGGUUCCUGGUUGGUGGAUAAGGAAGUGUGCCCACAUUCCAGUGUAGGGGUUACCAGUUAGGAGCAAAGUCACUGAGAUAGGAAAAAUGACCCCAUGGGAAUCUGAAAUCCAUUUGCUGGGCCCAUCAUUCUGGUUUUGAGAAGGCCUUGAAAGCCAGCUGAGACUUGGGCUUAGCACGGCAGGAGAGCACUGAGCUGUUUGAAGUUUUUGAAUGAGGUGUGUGCCCUUUUGGAAAUAAUGGCUUGAGCAAGAUUGGUCUGGGGUUUGGCCUGGGAAGCCACUUUACCAUGGCUUAAUUUAUAGGCCCUGAGCUGUAGCCCCAGUCCC
rnacentral:lncRNA from 1 species